UUUGGCGUAUGUGUUGUGGUGAGGUAGGAAUCUAUGCUGGUAUCCCGUACCACAGCGCUCUAUACAUAGACUAUAUGUUAUUUUUGUGCAGGUGCUUUUACAGCUGUGUGCAUUUUCACUUUCCAAAAAUGAUGUCAAUUUUCUGUUCUUGUCUUGGUGGAACCAAUCACCACAAACUGAUUAAAAUCAGGUUUGCAGGGGGGAA
rnacentral:misc_RNA from 1 species